CCUACGGGUGGCUGCAGUGGGGAAUAUUGGACAAUGGGGGCAACCCUGAUCCAGCCAUGCCGCGUGUGUGAAGAAGGCCCUCGGGUUGUAAAGCACUUUCAGUGAGGAAGAACGCCUGGUGGUUAAUACCCAUCAGGAAAGACAUCACUCACAGAAGAAGCACCGGCUAACUCCGUGCCAGCAGCCGCGGUAAUACGGAGGGUGCGAGCGUUAAUCGGAAUUACUGGGCGUAAAGCGCGCGUAGGUGGCUUGAUAAGCCGGUUGUGAAAGCCCCGGGCUCAACCUGGGAUCGGCAUCCGGAACUGUCAAGCUAGAGUGCAGGAGAGGAAGGUAGAAUUCCCGGUGUAGCGGUGAAAUGCGUAGAGAUCGGGAGGAAUACCAGUGGCGAAGGCGGCCUUCUGGACUGACACUGACACUGAGGUGCGAAAGCGUGGGUAGCAAACAGGAUUAGAUACCCUGGUAGUC
rnacentral:rRNA from 1 species